CCUACGGGAGGCAGCAGUGGGGAAUAUUGCACAAUGGGGGAAACCCUGAUGCAGCGACGCCGCGUGGGUGACGAAGUAUUUCGGUAUGUAAAGCCCUAUCAGCAGGGAAGAAGAUGACAGUACCUGACUAAGAAGCCCCGGCUAACUACGUGCCAGCAGCCGCGGUAAUACGUAGGGGGCAAGCGUUAUCCGGAUUUACUGGGUGUAAAGGGAGCGUAGGUGGCAUGGCAAGCCAGAAGUGAAAACCCGGGGCUUAACCCCGCGGAUUGCUUUUGGAACUGUCAGGCUGGAGUGCAGGAGGGGCAGGCGGAAUUCCUGGUGUAGCGGUGAAAUGCGUAGAUAUCAGGAGGAACACCGGUGGCGAAGGCGGCCUGCUGGACUGUAACUGACACUGAGGCUCGAAGGCCAGGGGAGCGAAAGGGAUUAGAUACCCCUGUAGUC
rnacentral:rRNA from 1 species